AACAAAUAUUAAUUCGUUUUGUCUAAUAAUUCUUUAUAGUUACCUAAAACUGAUAUUAGUGUACAUUUAUUUUAAAAAUGUUUUUUUAAUUGUUAUUAUAUGGUUAAAAUACUGCAUUAUAAUCUGGAGUUUGGGUUGUGAUUAAAAUUUCAAAACAAGAUGCCCCUUCAACAAUGGAAAAGUAAACCCCAAGCUCCAGGAUAUGUGCAUUGCUGGGAUGACAUCAUGCUUAGAGUGGCUGAGCAUGGAGGCUGCAAAUUGCCAACACCACAGAAGUGACAUGACCCCAGAAUAUAUUGUUCAGAUUAGGACAUACAUUACUUAUUUCAGAAGAUCAAAGAAAAGCAUUUUUAUGUCUUCAACAUGGUUUUUGGUGACAAUGUUUGUUAAAUGUUCUUUUGCUGCAGUUCCUGUAUAGAUAAUAAUAGUUUCUGUCACUUUUAUUAGCAUUUAAAAUGAAACACCAGACUGUUCCUGGGUGCAAGGAACUGUACCUUGUAGUACUUGUAAUUCAUCUGAUAUGCUAUGGCGCAAUGAGUAUUAGCAUUGUAUCACCUUCCAAACAGCGAUGGAGUUGGAGAGGGCCACUGCUUAAGUGUAUUAAACGUUGGUGAAUGAAAAGCUGCUUUUGUUGAGAUUAGUUGCACCACUAAUGUUUGGUAAGCGACUGUACUGUAGCUCCUGUUUCUUUCUGUGCUGUUAGUGAUGUCAGGAAAAAGAUCUUGAAAUCUUGAAGUCGCAACCUUAUGCAAACAUAAACAGAUGUAAGCACUUUGUAUAUCUGCUGAGCAUAUUACCUCAUAAAACUGUCUUGUGUAUGUAUUAUUACUGACAAGAGUACUUUUCUUCUGUUUGUGGCCUUUAGCACAGUCUAAACACAGUAUGUUAAACUAAUGACACAGAAUAGAUAAAUAUUGGUACAACCUGGGAGUGUUAUAAUUACAACAAUGAUGUUAUUGAAUCAAAUAAUAAGAGUUGAAUAACAAUACUGACGCAAAUUUGAUAUAACAGCAAAUGAUAAGGAAUUCGCCCCCUAAUCUCUGGGAUUAAUAAUCUCACCCCUUAAAGACAUGGAUUACUAAUGUGUUCUUUUCCACCAGCACAUCUCGAUAACACAAUAAUGACCAGUAGUAUAUUUGGACAGAAAUUGUUGGACAUUCCUUACUUAGCAAUGAAAAAGAAAAUAAACAGUGAAUAAACUGCUUACUUUGUA